ACCAACUACCCAAACCCUACCUCCUCCCAUUGCACUCUCCCCCGCACCCGCAUCUUCUCUCUGCGCUCCCACGCCCUAGGGUUAGCCGCCGCCUCCGACGACCUUAUUCCGACGAGCUUCGACAGCCAUGGCCUGCGCGCAGCAUCCUGCGAAGCUCACCUAGUACCGCUCCGUUGAUCCCUCCAUCCAUAUCCGCCCCUCCCUACCUCCAACGCUCGCGCUCAACCAUCCCCCGCGGCUAGGGUUCGGGGCGCGACCUAGUCUCCACCACCGACAUUUCAUUGCGGAGCCUCACAGAUCUUAGAGAGCCCAACACCCACCCUCCACCAACUCCUAGGUUUUCUCCAUCGACGCUGCCGCCGCCACCCGCCUGAUCUUCGGCCACCGGAGUCCCUCCUCUCCUCUGGCCGGUGGUUUGAGAUCCGCCUCGCCCGUGAAGCACUCCGUCCAGAUCUCCCCCUCCCACCUCCGAGUGCGUGGAAAUCUUCCACCGAUUUGCAUCUCCCAUCAUGAACUAGAUGUCGUCCGAGCUGCCUCUCCUGCAGCUUGGCGCGGCUUCUCCACGGAUGCCACUAGUUACCCCUACUGCCACCGGACCUGCAUGUUCAACAAAGACCAGCCGCUGCUUCUCCCUCCACCGUGCACAUCUUCGCCAUCAUCGCCGCCGUCCUACUUUUAUUCCCCUCCUGAAUCGAGGGAGCAAGAGAGAUGAGGCGCUGAUCCUGGAGGAGGUGUCUAAAUACAACUCCAAGGAUGGCUGCUGGCUCAUCAUUGUUGGCAAGGUAUAUCCACACAUCUUCUCCCCCACUGGCCUUCCUGAUUGUUUUCUUGCAUUAUUGUCAUGCCAAGAUUCAUAUUUUGUUCUGCAUGAUUGUUUUCUUACAUUAUUGUCAUGCCAUGAUUCAGUUUUUCUUUCUUUCUCUCGGAGGGUCGCGAUACUAGUAGCUUGCAGCACAACAUGCCCUUGUCAAUUUGCCAAAACAUCUGGAAAAGAAAUUGAUACAUGUUGGUUACGUGUUGGCCAGCUGGUAGCGAUGAAAGUACAUUAGCCGACAUAUUUGUCCAGUACAGUCAGACUAUUUAUUGAAUUCUUGGUUAUGGUGAAGAAUUAGUUUGGCUUAGUACAUGUUUAGUGAUUCCUGGGGUUAAAAUCCAGAGGCAAUUCUCUGAAUUGUGAAAUGGUCUGAGAGAUUACACUCUAAUUUACUUCCAGAUUUUCACCCUGUCGGAACCGAUAAAUUAUGAGUACCCUACUUCUAGACUUUCACCCCGCUUUAUACAAGGUCGGAACACUUCUAGCGAGUGUGUCUAAUUUUCUGAUGGUCAUCAAAAACUAGGCUUUCACCCCAUUAAGAAUCACAUUUGUUAAUGUGGGUUCCAAUUCUCUAUCUGAAGUCUGGGCAUAACUUCGGAUCUUUUGUCAGUUUUUUUCAUCUUCAAUGCAUUCAAAAAUUCAUUCCUUGCAAUAACAGCUCUUUGAAAAAAAACUCAUUUCAUUUUCAACAAAGGCCUGAACAGGAAUUAAUACAGUCAUCCAUGCAUUUUUAGAAAAGUACACAUGCUUUUUAGCAAAGUAUGCAUGCCAUUCCUUUUCUUCUUUUGAAGAACAAAAUGGUACAUGUUUUGAUGCUGAGUCCACAAGUUAUAUUUUAUAUACUUAUUAAUGAGCCUUGACUUCUAAAUAGAUGUCAUUUCAUUUUGGUUAAAAGGAAACUCAAAAACUUAAUUUUUCCUAUACAAAUAAAUAAUCUAAAUCACUUUAGAUAUAGAUGGACACAUGUUUAUUUAGAACAAAAGAGAUAUACGCGGACAUAAAAAGGAUAGAAAAUCUUUGCCUAUUAUCGAUAAACAUUCUUAAUUACAUAUGGCCAAAUUAUACACGUGCAAUUUAUCAAUUGCGUGCAUACACACUUAAUAUGUUAUCCUGUGCAACAUACCUGGCUACAUUAUACUUAUGUUAUUAAUUUAUUGCACUAUUUGAGUGUACAACAUCAUGCCAUAUUUAAGUUAGCUUAAUUUGGAAAUCACAUGGAUGCCGGAGCGGGUCAUGCCCCAAGAGGCCGAAAUCACAUGGAUGUUUAACAACUCUUGUGUGUGCUAUGGCUGUGCUCAGUUUGUUGUUGAGUAUAUGUUGGUCCUAAUAUCCCCAUGGUUGCAAUGCUUCUCCUAACCAUGUCUACUGUUUAGUGCUCCUAUUUAUACAUGACUUAUAAUGAUGCUAUGGUUGGGUUUGUGUAGGCUAUUAUUUACGAUUUAGGCACUGUACUGUUCACAAACUUGCUACUUGUUAUUGGCAUGGUCUCUAGUGUUAGCAGGAAAUGAUUAACUAUAAUUUCUAGAAUUGGCCAUGAGCUAAAAUUACUAUCAUUAAUUUUACUUGUGCUCUGCAACUGCUUAAUUGGAAUGUUGUGUGUUUGCGCAUUAUGCAUAUUUACAUGUUAUUAUAUGUAUGUUGCCUGAUUGGUCGCUCAUGGUCAAAUUAUUGUAAGCGCUGGGUGGUGGCGUCCUUCCAUCAUCACCUGCCCCUUGGCAACUCAUUUUAUUUAUGUACCAAGUACACCAACUUCAACUACUCCAGCCUCCAUGUGCAGGCAUGUAAACCACAACCUUCUGGUCUGUAUGUUCUUCUCAUUUGUGAUCCUUUUAACGCGAGGAAGUUCCUCAAUCCAGAAUUGGCUACUCAGAAGAAGUGGAAAGUGGAAGACAGACGAUGCUAUGGUUUCUCAAUUUGCUGUUACAUGUGAACAAUUUAAUUUUAUGUUCUUUAAUGUGUUCCAUUGAAGCCACAGUGGUUGUAUUGGUCAUAUAGUACCAACACUUGUUGGAUUUGUAGUGGAGUUGAAGGUUGAAUUAUUUUAUGUGAUGCAUGUUUGUAAAGUAUGUGCCAUGAUGUGCUUAAAUGAACGGAACUACUUAUCAUAA